UUCUGGGAAGGGCAGAAGCUGUGGAUCAUGUGCCUGCCGCCUUUUCGGGUCGCUGCCUUUUAACACGCCUGGCUUCUUUAGCUUUAAAAUCUGUUCUCCGCUGGGUCUUGGCGGCAGAGACUCAUCAUCCUAGUUCCUGAGGAGGCAGAAGCAAGAGGGUGAUAAGUUCAAGGUCAGCAUGGAUAGCUUGAGGGACCACAAGCAGACUCUGGGAGAUCAUCUCAUCUUCAAAUUAUCACUGACCGUCGACUCAAAUGCUGCCUGACGGUGGCCAGCUAUUUCUAGCAUCUUUGAGGGGGCAGUACAAAUUGGACACACACAUGCAAAAGGAGCAGUUGUGAUGCACGCAUCUUAGACAUCUAAGAAGAGAGCAUGG